rnacentral:miRNA from 1 species
UGGAGUUCCGGGUAGUCCAGAGC